GUAUUUUGGUGAAUGGUCCUCUC
rnacentral:piRNA from 1 species